GGAAAUGCAGGGGCAACAGGGGAAGUCAAAAAUAUAAACGGACUACAAAAUGGACUGUUAAUCCAGGGAAGAGGGCAGUGACUCAUUCUUUCAUCGCUGUCCCUGAAUGCGCCUGUUCACUCUGCUGGGAAGAGACCUCCUAUCCUGUUCCCCACCUGUCCCUUAAGCUAGAAGUACCUCCUCUGUCACCAGGGUCCACCCAGGCCACUAAAGAGAAAUGAAAUGAACAACUUAUCAGAGAUGUUUCCAAGUGUUUGGGCUAAAGACAAUCCUGGAAGGGGCGACCAUGGGUUGCCAGUGAUAGUUCAGCUUCUGCUGAGGUUGUGCCCAUUGGAGUGGGACAGUACUCCAUCAGGGGAUCAAGACCCAGGAUUUACGGGGAAUGGAUAUGUGGGUGGGAACUAUUUGCCCAACUAUUCCCCACCCUUAUUCUCUGCUCAGCAUGCUGCUGCAAAGGGUUUAUACAGUCCUGGAUUGAAAGGAUGCAUUUUUCCCCCUUCCUUUGUCAAAACUAAAUGUAUCUUUGCAUUUGAAUGGACUAACCAGACCUGAACCUGCUUAUCUUAGGGUUUCAGCAAUUCCCCAAUGGUCUAUUGAUGAUGCCCU
rnacentral:lncRNA from 1 species